rnacentral:tRNA from 1 species
GGUUGUGGCUCAGUGGUAGAGCGCUUGCCUAGCAUGCAUGAGGCACUGGGUUCAAUCCCUGGCACCA